ensembl:lncRNA
GAGCACAGUGGUGGCCACCUGGAAACUUCUAUUUUCCCCUUGGCGGUAUUGCUCAGACUGUGUCUUGUGGCCAGGAGACCUGCCGCGGGCACUGCUGCAGCAUUUGAAGGUAAAGGCGAAUGGAACAGCAGCUCUCCUGGAGAAUGCAGGUAGAUGAGUUCCCCAAGAAACCGCAGCAGGAACUUAAACUGCCUGUUUGAUCCUUUUCCCCAGAAACUCUGGAGAACCAUAACUUAUAUGGAUCUGUGGUGAUGCAGACAUUAGAGGGCUAUUGUGUAAAGGCCUAAGACAUGAAUAUCACAUGACUGGACACACUGCAUACAAUAACAGUCCAUAUACUCUCUUUCCACUGAACUACACUGGCGUUAUUGUUACUGUCUUGCUGAGCAUCUGACUGAAUAUAUACCACAAACAUUGACGAGAACUACUUUUGACCACUUGUGUAACCAUGUAUAAUUUUGCUUGUGUUUUCAGCUAACUCUCUUACCAAGAUGAAAAUUAGUAGAAAGCACUGAAGAAAAUGGCUGAAUAAAUUUUUGUAACCAGAUAUUGACAUCUGAUACCAGGUUUUCCUGAGGAAAGGAGCUGGAAUGCAUGAGCUGAAGAAAAGUUAUUUACAGAUACAAUGACAAAAAGGAUAAUGCCACAGUCAGGAAAUCAGUACAGAGGGAAUCCAGCAGCUUGUCAGCAGCACUGCAGACAAAUAGCACAACCGACUCAAAGAAAACGAACCAAAGCAAGCUCCAAAUUCCAGACCUCUGCAGGACAAGCUGCUGGUGUGAAGCUGAACAGGAGCCAGAGCGUAGCAGCAAGGAAGCUGUGAUUUCAUCCAGCAGCCUGACAGAAACUCCGAGGCUUUACUGCAGCAGUUUGUGCAGAUGCAGCAGCAUCCCUCUGACCGGGUCCAUGUCAAGUGCUAGCAGAGGAGUCCCCAGAAGGAGGAUUCUCAUGUAAUUCUGUGUCACUGCCCCCUUGAUUUUUAGUUGCAACUCUCUGAGGAAACCAGGUAUGCUCUACAGGUUUUUAAACAGUUUUUAUUCCUUAGGAUGAUGCCUAAUUUCCAAGGGAAGUGUAAGCUGCAUGGAAAUGGGGAAGACUGAUGAGAGAAAGAAAGGUCCCCAAGGAGGGUCAUUUCCCUCACCAUGGAGUGGUGGUAGGCAGGUUCCUUUGGGAGGAGAUGCAGGACAAUUAGCCGGAGUAGAGGCAUUUGCCUGGGGUACAUGUUGGCAAGGAGGUUUCUGGUGAGGUUUACAGCCCAGUGGUGGGGAUCCUGAGAGGCUCCACAUUUGGCAUAAGGGCAUGAGGGCUCAGGGGUGAGUAGCAGCUGUCACACAUGUUUUGGUGCUUGUCUGGGGACUGAUUGGAACUGGGUACUGAUAUUUGUGGUUUGGUAUCUGUGCGUUAGACUUGUGUGCCAGGUCAGCAGGCAGGAGAGCACUGCUGGCCAGAUGGGGAAGAAAGUUUAGGACGGCGUGUGCUGGGUUGGGGAAACACUGACAAUUAUAGCAAACCCAUUUGCACCAGUGGGACUCUGGGGUGGCUCUGCUGAGAGCAGUGGAGUAAUGCUGACAAAACUGUAAAUGGGAUUUGGCCUUAUAAUGCGAAAAUGAGAUUUGGCUGAGGGCCUGGAGGGGUGCUGGGAGCUAGUCUCUGAAUGUAUAAAUGCAUGUGUUUCUAAAAAUGUCUGUGCUGGUUGCUAGAUAGAUGUAUGAAGCCCUCGGAGCAUGCAUCACCUUUCAUAGGAAACAAAGCGUCUGUUGCGUUUCAGCCAGACUCCCCACUGAAUUAUUUAAGGCAACUAAAUAACUACAGAGCUCCCCUGA